GAAACCACAGCUCAGUAGGGACAUAAACCUUUUCACGGUAAAUUGAUUAACUAAAUUAAGUGACAUAAAAUCAUACAACCAAAUAUCACAUUAUUAAUAAUAAUGCAUGAAUGCUCUUCAUCUAAUCCUAUUAAUUCAUAUAACUGGACAGACAGACUUGCACGUCCCAUACCAUACUUAUACCACUUGGUCCCGAAUGCCCAUUUAUAUGAACUAACCCCCAUCUCAAUCAUCUCAUAAAUCCCCUUUUGUUAGUCAUUUUGUCUAACUCUCUGUCGCUAGUCCCUAUCACCCAAUAAAAACCACGUGCACUGUGGGAUCCCUGAGAUCUGGUACCUGC
rnacentral:lncRNA from 1 species